rnacentral:rRNA from 1 species
UACAGAGGGGGCAAGCGUUGUUCGGAAUUACUGGGCGUAAAGGGCGCGUAGGCGGCCUGCUAAGUCGAACGUGAAAUCCCUGGGCUCAACCCAGGAACUGCGUCCGAUACUGGUUGGCUUGAAUCCGGGAGAGGGAUGUGGAAUUCCAGGUGUAGCGGUGAAAUGCGUAGAUAUCUGGAGGAACACCGGUGGCGAAGGCGGCAUCCUGGACCAACACUGACACUGAGGAGCGAAAGCCAGGGGAGCAAACGG